AAAAAAAACAAGUCGACAUUUAAUGAAAACUCAACACGCAUGUUUUCAGUCAUGUGUAAAAUGUUUUCGAUUGUUAUUAAUAAUCUGUCAUUGUAAGCUUUUGCAAUACGAUUUACCGUUAUAAUACUUGCUUUUCAGCAGACUGUUCUGAGCAAUAAUCUCGUGAUUAGUACGAGAAAUAUAUUAGAAAUAAUUUUCGAAG